UGCCCAAAGCCGAGCUCGCUACUCGGCGGAGAUCGGAGUCGUUCCCACUCUGUUUCGACCCCCGAACCGAAGGGGAAGGCGUUGAUUCCAAAACUCCGACUCCGAGCUCGUCCGGCCGCCGCGUUCGCUGCGAAGAUGAUCGUGUGCGUCGCCGUCGUGGGCCACCAGAACAACCCGCUGUACCUGCAGAGCUUCACGGAAGCCGACGAUGCGCUCAAGCUUCACCACAUCGUCCACUUGCUCCCUCGACGUCAUCGACGAGCGAAUAAAUAAUCCUAAGAAAAGUGGACCUACUUUAAAUGAGGCAUUUCUUUGGUUCUUCUGUAUCCAACAGAGAAUUACAAAGUGUAAG